GAUAAACGCUGGCGGCGUGCCUUAUACAUGCAAGUCGAACGUCCGCAAGGACGUGGCGAACGGGUGAGUAACACGCAGGUACAUUCCCCAAGUUUGGGAUAACCCGCCGAAAGGCGGGCUAAUCCCGGAUGUGAUCGCAAGAUUAAAGGUCCGGUGCAAAUCGGAUCGCUUGGAAAAUGGCCUGCGGCCUAUCAGCUAGUUGGCGGGGUAAAUGCCCACCAAGGCGAUGACGGGUAGCUGGUCUUAUGAGGAUGAUCAGCCACACUGGGACUGAGACACGGCCCAGACUCCUACGGGAGGCAGCAGUGGGGAAUAUUGGACAAUGGGGGCAACCCUGAUCCAGCCAUGCCGCGUGAGUGAUGAAGGCCUUAGGGUUGUAAAGCUCUUUUGCCAGGGAAGAUAAUGACUGUACCUGGAGAAUAAGCCCCGGCUAACUUCGUGCCAGCCGCCGCAGUAA
rnacentral:rRNA from 1 species